AAGAGAAAGCAUCUCUCCCGACACGUGCAGUCCAGUCCGGCAGAGGCAGCCUGGAAAUGGAGUCCACACCACAGCGAGGGCUUGCAAGGGACCCAAGAGUCACUCCCUGCCCUCCCUUGUGGCGUCUCCCUCUAGCCCAUCUGCCACAGCUCAUGGGACCUUCCCAGACACAGACACAGCCUGCAGAGGAGGCCGGGGAGUGAGAGCCAAUAGGCAGCAGGCAGGCCUGCAGCACACUCCCCAUUUCUGCUGUCCACUGUGCAGGUAGCAGAGAGGGGUCCCCUCCAUCUACAGAGCCCCCCCAAGGCUUCAGAGCUGGGGGGACCUCCGAGGUUGGUAGCCUGUCUGUGCAGCCGACCACGAGACAACGGCCCUGCUGCGGGAGCACUCAGGAUGCAGAGCUUCCGCUGAGUGCGGUGGAGCUCUCGGUGGGUGAGGCCCUGGGCCCAGGCAUUGUGUCCGCACUGCAGGAGUAGCCCCACGCUGGCAGCUGGCACCCCGGGCACUCGGCGCAGGGCCUGGGCAAGCUGCGCUCUGAUCUGCAGUCUCUCGGUGCUCUGGGCUCCUUUGGGGAGGACAUUAUCUUCGAUGUUAUUGUGUAAUAAUAGGACCAUGUUCCUGUGUCCUGCGGCUUUCUGGCUGAGCACACCAUGCUCCAUGAGGAAAUACGGUUACAGGAAUUAUGCUCUUAUUUAUUUUCCCUCCAGAAUAUCAGAGUUGACAGCACAGAGACACAGGUCUGUGGUCAUUUCAAGCUCAUUUAUCUCUCCCUGCCCCACCCUCCUCUCCUCAGCAGCCACCCUGUCACCUGCCACAGGGCCUCAGGCCCUAUCCCCUGUCUACCCAUCUCCUUAGAGUGCUCAGGCCAUACAGGCUGCUUAAGCGCUUUGUUCAAAUGUACCCAUUUAAUUCUGACGAUAGCCCUAUGGGGUAAGUAUUAUUAUUGUUCUCAUUUCACACUUGAGGAAACUCAGGCCUAGAGAGGUUAUGUGACUUGCCCAGGGUCACACAGCUAGUGAGUGGCAGAGCAUAGAUUCAAACCCAGGCUGUCGGGCUCCAUAAUUUGUGCUUUUAAUUCUGUGCUAUUCAGCCUCCAGUUCUGAUGCUUUUUUCUGUGCGGAUCUACAUAGAGAACAAACUGUGGGCACCAGCACUCGGCAUCCAGGUUUUAAAAGCAGAAUCAAAGUGUAAAACAGAGAGAAAUUUCUCUGAUGCGGCAUUUACAUAAGAAACACAUUCAGAAAAAGAGACUGUGAUUCUGAAAGUGUCCUGAUUAUACUGCACGGAAAAUCUCCCUGGGAUUGGAGGAGGUUUAAAUUCGUUGGGAGAGGAGGAAAUAAAAUCCCCUUUUCAAUUUGGAAAUCUCUCCCACACUGAAAAUUCACCGGAGGAAAUGGUCACACUGCGUUCGGGAGCAGACCACGUCCUGUCUGUUGGAGGGCUCCACCUUCUCAAGCCUUCA
rnacentral:lncRNA from 1 species